CCUACGGGUGGCAGCAGUGAGGAAUAUUGGUCAAUGGACGCAAGUCUGAACCAGCCAAGCCGCGUGCAGGAAGACGGCUCUAUGAGUUGUAAACUGCUUUUGUACGAGGGUAAACGCAGAUACGCGUAUCUUUCUGAAAGUAUCUUACGAAUAAGCAUCGGCUAACUCCGUGCCAGCAGCCGCGGUAAUACGGAGGAUUCAAGCGUUAUCCGGAUUUAUUGGGUUUAAAGGGUGCGUAGGCGGUCAGAUAAGUUAGAGGUGAAAUCCUCGGGCUCAACUUCGGAAUUGCCUUUGAUACUGUCCGGCUAGAGAGUAGUUGAGGUAGGCGGAAUGUAUGGUGUAGCGGUGAAAUGCUUAGAGAUCAUACAGAACACCGAUUGCGAAGGCAGCUUACCAGGCUACUACUGACGUUGAGGCACGAAAGCGUGGGGAGCAAACAGGAUUAGAUACCCGGGUAGUC
rnacentral:rRNA from 1 species